UUGUGAGUUAGUUAGAUAUGGUAGUUAGAAAAAGUCAGUAUGUAGUUUAGUACCUCCUUUAAAUAGUAUAUUAAUGUAUUAUAGUAUAGUUAUAAUAAAUAAAUUAUUCAGCCUUCUGAACUGGAGUCAGACAUCAUAAUUUCUUCCCAGUGGAAGAAAUGCAUUUACAAUACCUCAGUACCCUUCAACUAGGUCAUAAUUUGUAGACUUCUAUUGUCCUUCUUACUGGAAAGCCUGUUUCACUUAUCUGUGUUUAAAUCUUUAGACAGUAACAGGUCAUUUAUUUAUUCAAUCAUUCCUGCAUUGUCUGUGUCUUUUUAAAAAUACUAAACAAACUAUGUUAUAUGCUUAUCCAAGGUUUCAGAUGAGAUGUUUUGUAAUAGCUGGCAGGGCAGGCAGGCAUAUGCUUGCAACAGACAUGCUCCAGGUUAUGGUCUGUAGUUCACAGUAGGUCCCUGGGGAAAUCUGUGGACCUGGCUUUUUCUUUGUGGGGAUGUUACUACCAUGUCUAAGCUAAAGGCAAGGGUUGGAACUGCAGCUGAUUCCCUAUGGAAGUUUCAGCACACAGAGCAGAAAGGUGCAAGCAUCUGUCUAUGGCCAGCACUGGAAUUUGAUUCACUGUCUUCCUAAAAGCCCAGCCCACUGGGCAGUGUGGUUGUUCUCUGCAGGACACAGCCCUGGUGUUACAGCUGCACUGCCAGCAGCACUGCCAACACCCUUUUGGGUUCUGGAUCUGAUUUCAGCCCUGCAGCUGGCUGCCUUAGUUGGGACCCAGCAGUGGUGUGUAGGGGCUUGUCUUGGCUCCUACACACUGAAGGAAAGCAGAGAGCAUCCCCCAGGAUGCAUGCACAGAAAAGCAUUUGCUCCUUGGGUGCUCUAGUUAUGAGAGCCUCCUUUCCUGGGCACCACUACCAUCAGCUUCUUCCUGACCCAUCUUGCACCUCAUACAUCCCCAGCAGCUGGAAACUGAGAAAAAACUCUGCAUUUCUGGUCCUAAUGCAGUUUUCUUCCUGAUACUCUAUGUAGUGCAUUGUCACAACGAAGGUGGUACCAAUAUACUUGUCAGCACAACCAGCCCACAUGGUGUGGUCAAGGUUUGUUAGAUGGCUCUGGGGCUUGGUGUGCACAGUGCUCUCUCAUCAUGCUGUUUCUUGGGCAGCAUCCCCCCAGGCUCCUUUGCCUCAGUGUAUGGGCACUUUACAGCCUUCUGCUGGCCUUUAAUUCAGACACUCAUUCUGCAUUUAGAAGCCUUAGUCUGUGGACGUUGAUUACAAAUUUAUUUACCAGCACUCUCUUUUUUCCUUUUUUCCUGGAGAAUAAUGGACAAGGAUUGAUAAAAAAAGCAACAAAGAUGAAAAGCAGUACUAUUAUACUUACAAAGUAGUUCUGUAUAUCUUUAGAACACUUCUUUAAUAUAAUAACUGUCUUAAAGUAGUGUUGUCAAGUAAAUCCCAGGAAAAAAAUACUUUGGAAAAAUUAAUACAGUUUAAUGGAUGUUGAUUAGUGCACUUUCUUACUUUUUGUUUCCUCAGUCAUUAAUAAAAAAUGUUAAUAUUUACUGUUUACAAACAAUAAAACUAAAGUAAUAACAAAAGUAAAUCUCUUCAAUAAUAAUCUCAAAUGACUGAUAUUGUGUUUUUGUCAUCUUGAUCACACUGGGUUAAUUUUUUCCCAUCUCAAUAAAAAAUAUAAAUUUUUAAAUCUUUCUUUUAACACUAUCAAAAUAUGAUUUUUUCUUGUGGAGUGCAGAGACUACUGUAUGUUGGAACUAACUAGAACUAGAACUAAUUUUGUACUUCUAGCAUGUGGAGAAGUGAAAACAGAACAUUUUUACUGGACAAUAAUAAAGUGAUUAUGGCA